CCCUUAGAUGUUCUGGGCGGCCCGCGCACUACAAUGGCGCUUUCAGCGAGUUCCUAUGUUGAAUUUUCCUUGGUAUUCUUGGAAGCGGCGUCUUGACUUGGGAUAGAUCCUUGUAAUUGUUGGUUUUGAACGAGGAAUUCCUUGUAAUCGCGGUUGAUCAGCUCGCGUUGAAUACGUCCCUGCCCUUUGUACACACCGCCCGUCGCUCCUACCGAUUGGGUGAGCCGAUGAAACUCUCGGAUGUAGGCUAUUCAUAGCCCGCAGAAGAGAUUUGAAUCGUAGCGCUUAGAGGAAGGAGAAGUCGUAACA
rnacentral:rRNA from 1 species